GUGUGUCAUCCGCAUAGAAAUUAUAUUGGAAGCCGAAGGAGCUAAUUAGUUUACCAAGGGAGGCAGUAUAUAUAGAGAACAGUAGGGGACCAAGGACUGAACCUUUGGGGACACCAACAGAGAGGAGUUGGGGAGAAGACGCAGAGCCAGAGAAAGAAACACUGAAAGAGUGCUGGAAGAGGUAGGAAGAGCACCAGGAGAGAGCAAUAUCUUGUAGACCGAUAUUGAGGAGAAUGAGAAGA